rnacentral:tRNA from 1 species
UUUGAUAGAAGCCAAACAGAGGCUUAUCACUGUUAAUGAUACAAUUGAAUUCUUUUCCUAUCAA